rnacentral:rRNA from 1 species
GAUGAACGCUGGCGGCGUGCCUAAUACAUGCAAGUCGAGCGAACAGACGAGGAGCUUGCUCCUCUGACGUUAGCGGCGGACGGGUGAGUAACACGUGGAUAACCUACCUAUAAGACUGGGAUAACUUCGGGAAACCGGAGCUAAUACCGGAUCAUAUAUUGAACCGCAUGGUUCAAUAGUGAAAGACGGUUUUGCUGUCACUUAUAGAUGGAUCCGCGCCGCAUUAGCUAGUUGGUAAGGUAACGGCCUACCAAGGCAACGAUGCGUAGCCGACCUGAGAGGGUGAUCGGCCACACUGGAACUGAGACACGGUCCAGACUCCUACGGGAGGCAGCAGUAGGGAAUCUUCCGCAAUGGGCGAAAGCCUGACGGAGCAACGCCGCGUGAGUGAUGAAGGUCUUCGGAUCGUAAAACUCUGUUAUUAGGGAAGAACAAAUGUGUAAGUAACUAUGCACGUCUUGACGGUACCUAAUCAGAAAGCCACGGCUAACUACGUG